GUGUGCGGACGCAGUUGCGUGAGGGGUUUGUACUAUCCUCGGUGCUGUGGUGCAGAGCUAGUUCCUCUCCAGCUCAGCCGCGUAGGUUGAAUUGACCAAAGCAAUGGUGAUGGAGAAGCCUAGUCCCCUGCUGGUCGGGCGGGAAUUUGUGAGACAGUAUUACACACUGCUGAACCAGGCCCCAGACAUGCUGCAUAGGUAAGACAUUUUUCUCCUGCAUCAUCUAAUGCUGUCUUUUAGUAUGUGGUACUUAUCUUUGAGAUUCUCCCACUCAUCAUCUUAUGCUUUGUAGGGUUGUUGCAUAAUACUUAUUUACAUAUAAAUAUCCCCCAAUUUUUUAUUUGAGACAGAGUCUCGCCCUGUUGUCCAGACUGGAGUGCAGUGGUGCGAUCUGGACUGACUGCAACGUCCACCUCCCCAGUUUAAGUGAUUCUUCUGCCCCAGCCUCCUGAGUAGCUGGGACCACAGGUGCCCACAACCAUGCCCGGCUAAUUUUUGUAUUUUUUUUUUUUUUUUUUUUAAGUAGAGACGGGGUUUCACCAUGUUGGCCAGGCUGGUCUCAAACUCCUAACCUCAGGUGAUUGAUCCGCCUUGGCCUCCCAAAGUCCUGGGAUUACAGGCGUGAGCCACUGCGCCUAGCCCCAAAAAAUAAUUUUUGAAAGUUAAACUAAGUUAUCUAAACUUGUACAUUAUUGGAAAAUAACAAUUGAAAUGUAAAGGUAUAGUCAUGCAUUAUUUACUAAGAAUGUAUUAAAGAUUGCUGGAGCUGAGGUGGAUGUAAAAAAUAAGAAUGUAUUGAAGACAAUCCAUGACUGUUCCUGUAAUACCAUACUUUUGUGUUGAUGCGCUUUAAAAAAUUAGUGUCUUUA
rnacentral:lncRNA from 10 species